CCAGAUUACGCGUGUCCAGCGGCCCGACGCACCGCUGUCUCCCCACAUGACCUUAUCUUCUCCCCCAGUCGUCUUCCCCGAUCCCCUUCCCGUCGUUCUUCGCUUGCGUUGUCCGCCGCAAUUUAUCUCUCAUCGCCGCUUCGCUCCCUCCUUCACAGCACCGCGCCUAAUAGGCUCCCCUCUCUCCUUGCCCUUUCUUGCCGCCGGAGCUCGACAUGUGAGGCGACGACUAUUAUGGCUGUGGGGCGAUGGCACCUUCCAGCGACGGCGCCGCAAGGCAGUGCGGUGCGGGAUGUUGCAAGGCUGCGGUUCUUCCUUCCUUCUCCCUUCCUCCUUCCUCCCCUCGUUCUUAUUCUUUCUCUCAGACCGAGUUCCUCUUUCUUUGUUGCCUACAGGAGGCCGAUGCCAAACUGCAAGCAGCCGCCACCUGGAGGUUCUCCGACACCGGAGCCCACCUCCUCCUCGCCCACGUCGCCGACGUCCAUCCUCGUCGGAUCCGGUGCCGCGGGGCCUCCCUGCGCCUCCGCCGCCCUGCCAAGUCCGUCUGCUGGAGCCGCCUCUGUCCGCUGCCUGUUCAGUCCCCUACCUCGACCACGUCUGUACGCGUGCGCAAGGGCUGCAAGGCCUAGCAGUGAUUCGUGACGUUCAUGUGCGGGGACAUGCGGAGGCCGGCGCCGGCGAGCAGGCACGCGUCGACGGGGCCAUGUUGGAGGUUAUGGGCGCCGACCUGCUGCACCCACCUCGAGCCGACCGCGGCUGCUGGCCGACGAGCACAAGAGAGCUCGGGUGCUUGGGAAUGGAGACAACAUACGCAAGGGGGGGGUGCGAUGCCGGAGGCGGAGGAGAGGGGCGGGCACCUUCCGCGCCGACGAGCGCAGCCGAAGCUGU
rnacentral:rRNA from 1 species